UUUUUGUUAACAACGCGACGAGAAUUUGUCGUAGACGGUGCGCUCUCGGCAGCUUGCUGCAGCAUGCACAUGGAGCGUCUAGCAAGUUUUCUGUUUGCCGUCUGUUUCGUCCCGUCGGAGUGCAAGAUUCCAGCCCAUGCAUGGAAAGCUUACAAUAUACGAAAAUUCUUCGAUACGACGGAAGCAAUAUGGACUGUGUAUACAACCGGACCCACCAAUCGUCGAUGUGAGGUUGACUUAGUUCAAGACGUGACGAAAGCUUCAGUUUAUUUCAAGCGACAGUUUUUUCUUGGAGAGAAAAAGAUCUCUAGAAGAAUUCUAGGAACCUUCAAUCCGAAUCGAAAGAAGCACAUGGAAGUCAAUAUUCCAGGUAGCAAUAACACAGCGGCGGAGGAUAUUCUCUACAUGAGUGAGAACAAAGGCUGUGCGGUGAUUAUGAGUACGGCGAGUGCUGAAGGAAAGAAGCACCACACGCAUGACGUCCGAGUACGGAAUUCGUCCGUAUCACGCAGCCCUGGCCAUGAUUGCCUUGCCAUAUUCAGGCAGCAUGAGAAGUGGGAACAAGUCAUCUAUACCAGAGGUUGCCAGCACAUACUUGAUAAAAAGUUGAAAUCUCCUAUGACGAAUAAAAUAUAAGAAGG